AAUCUCCUACGGGACGCAGCAGUGGGGGGUAUUGCACAAUGGGGGGAACCCUGAUGCAGCGACGCCGCGUGGGCGAUGGAGUGCUUCGGCAUGUAAAGCACUCUCAGCAGGGAAGAAAAUGACGGUACCUGACUAAGAAGCCCCGGCUAACUACGUGCCAGCAGCCGCGGUAAUACGUAGGGGGCAAGCGUUAUCCGGAUUUACUGGGUGUAAAGGGAGCGUAGACGGUGCAGCAAGUCUGAUGUGAAAGGUCGGGGCCCAACCCCGGGACUGCAUUGGAAACUGUU
rnacentral:rRNA from 1 species